GGAAGGACGUAACAGCAGGGGGGUUGUAGAGAGAUACAGAGGUUAUUGGUUCCUCUGUGUCUCCUGAAGCUUCUUUAGUAAUCCAUAGUCCACUCCUUCGAGUCGGAUACUCUUCUUCCUGUCGAAUUGUCCUAAAGCCGAUGUCUGUUGUGGUACUGGUGUUUGCAUUUCGAUGUCGUUUGCAGUUUGUUGUUUUCCGUUCAGAUGAAGCAGUAAUGAGCUUUCAGGAAUUUUAGGAGGAUUACAAUAGUCAGGAUUCCAGCAGAGACUGAUCCGAAAGCGAUGAAGUGUUUCCAGGCAUUCUCGAUGGUAUGCUGGACCAUGUGGUUCAAUGUUUGUUCAUCUAGUAAGUUUCUGAAUUCAAACUGGGGGUGAGGUACGGUGUUGCCAGCUGCCAGUUCUUGCAAGCUGUAGAUCCCUGCUGUGCUGAGGUGCUCAGAUGAUCUGUACUCCCAGGUUGGGUUCGUGUCUGGGUUAAGGAUCUGCGGUGUAGGAGCCAAUGUUAGUCGAGGAUUUAGGAAAUACCAGUUGUUAUCUAUUUUAUAUCCAACCGGAAGGAGAGGGUUACAGAAAAAUGAGGAGCUAUGUCUCAUAAGAAUUUUUGAAUUUUUGGUUAGGAAAUAGGUUUUGGUAUAUGACCGGAGCUUCUUUGUAACAUUCCAGUUCGGCUCUGUUGGCAAGUUUGACCUGGACCGGAGUACAUUUUACAAGAUGGACUAAUUCUCCGGCUAUCGUGGCGUGGUACCCAGGCCCCUUCAUUAUCCUGUACGCAAAUUCAUCAGGGGCUACUUCGGCUAGGCUGAGGAUGUUCUGGAGGACCUUUCUCUCUAGUUCGCAGCGAUGUCGUAAGGUCUACUGGAGCGUCAUAUUGCAUGUAGCUGAUUCGUACCAGGGCUUCGACGACGACGUUGGGCCAGGAUCCGUCCUGGUCAUUUUAGUCAACCCCCUUGCAUGUUCCGUCUACACUCAACUUCUCGGCGUUUACAGGACUUCUAAGAUGGUGUAUGGCCCGGUAUAUUGAUUGGCGAAUUUAUUUAACUUAGUGUGUGGCAAUUUUUCAGCAUCUUUAGGCGAGUUGCCUGUGUGCUGCUCGAGUUAUCUACUUUGAAUGGGUCGUGCUCUAUUUUGAUAGACAUCCAGGGACAGGUUAAAAUGCGUACUGUAGGAAUUGGUACUAUGACAGGUUCUUGGUUUCGACUUAUAACCCUUAUAAAAGUUUUUCCCUCUAUGUUGAGGCUUAUAUUUCCCCCAGCAAUAAUUUUGUUUCCCAGUCUUAUUUCAGGUACAAAGCCGGUUUCUUGGGAGUUUUUGUCUACUCGUACAGGGAGAGCAGUGACUGAGCCAGGAGAAAUUGUUUUAGUCUGAGAAUUCGGAUCCAAGGACUCCAGCGUACGCUAUGGGAAAUUCUUCCGAAACUAUAUGGAAAGGGCUUGGGUGUCCUUGUACUCUGAUGGUAAUGAGUCCCAGAGUGUCGACCCCUGUGUUGGUGAUACCAUGUAACCAGUCAGCUAGAAAUUCUUUAUCCGGUUGUCGUCGUUGCUGGUUCAUCACUUCGAGCGGACGAAGAGUUUCCAAGGCUGUCGUGUGUCAUAUUUUGCCAUAGUU